rnacentral:rRNA from 1 species
CCUACGGGAGGCAGCAGUGAGGAAUAUUGGUCAAUGGGCGCUAGCCUGAACCAGCCAAGUAGCGUGAAGGAUGACUGCCCUCUGGGUUGUAAAUUUCUUUUUUAGGGGAGUAAAAUGCAGUAUGUAUACUUCUUUGCAUGUACCUUAUGAAUAAGGAUCGGCUCACUCCGUGCCAGCAGCCGCGGUAAUACGGAGGAUCCGAGCGUUAUCCGGAUUUAUUGGGUGUAAAGGGAGCGUAGGCGGGGUGUUAAGUGAGUUGUGAAAGUUUCCGGCUCAAACGUAAAAUUGCAGUUGAUACUGGUAUUCUUGAGUAAAGUAGAGGUAGGCGGAAUUCGUGGUGUAGCAGUGAAAUGCUUAGAUAUCACGAAGAACUCCGAUGGCGAAGGCAGCCUGCUGGACUGUAACUGACGCUGAUGCUCGAAAGUGUGGGUAGCAAACAGGAUUAGAUACCCCAGUAGUC